UUAAGCUAAGAAGAGCGUAGGGAGAAUGCCUUGGCAUUAGGAGCCGAUGAAGGACGUGAUAAGCUGCGAUAAGCUGCGGGGAUCAGCAAGUAUGAAUUGAUCCGCAGAUUUCCGAAUGGAGCAAUCCGUAUGUGUAUGCACAUACAUCAUAUACUGAAUCAAAUAGGUAUAUGAGGGGAACCGCCUGAACUGAAACAUCUAAGUAGGGCGAGGAAGAGAAAUCAACCGAGAUUCUGUGAGUAGUGGCGAGCGAAAGCGGAAGAGGCUAAACCAUAGGUAGCAAUACUUAUGGGGUUUCGGACAGCAUUUAGUAUUGAUAAUUUCUAGUUGAAACGUGUGGGAAAACGUACCGAGGAGUGUGAGAGUCACGUAAGCGAAAGAGAAAGUCAGCGAGCUGUAUCCAAAGUACCGCGGGACACGUGAAACCCCGUGGGAAGAUGGGGGGACCAUCCUCCAAGCCUAAAUACUACCUAAUGACCGAUAGCGAAUAGUACUGUGAAGGAACGGUGAAAAGAACCCCGGGAGGGGAGUGAAAAAGAACCUGAAACCCUAUGCUUACAAGCACCGAGAGCACGUCAAAGUGUGAUCGGGUACCUUUUGUAGAAUGGUCCGGCGAGUUAUUGUAUGCGGCAAGGUUAAGUGCUUAAGGCACGGAGCCGAAGCGAGAGCAAGUCUGAACAGGGCGAAAGAGUCGUAUGCAAUAGACCCGAAACCGAGUGACCUAUCCAUGUCCAGGCUGAAGUGGAGGUAAAACUCCAUGGAGGGCCGAACACACGUCCGUUGAAAAGGCCGGUGAUGAGGUGUGGAUAGCGGAGAAAUUCCAAUCGAACUCGGAUAUAGCUGGUUCUCUCCGAAAUAGCUUUAGGGCUAGCCUCGUGAAAGAUUACUGGAGGUAAAGCACUGAAUGGGCUAGGGGUCGAAAGAUUACUGAACCCUAUCAAACUAAGAAUGCCAGAUAAUUGAUUCACGGGAGUCAGACAAUGUGAGAUAAGUCUCAUUGUCAAAAGGGAAACAGCCCAGACCCACAGCUAAGGUCCCUAAACAUUGUUAAGUGGAAAAGGAUGUGGGGUUGCAUAAACAACCAGGAUGUUGGCUUAGAAGCAGCCACUCAUUAAAAGAGUGCGUAAUAGCUCACUGGUCGAGUGACCCUGCGCCGAAAAUUCAACGGGGCUAAACAAUGUACCGAAGCUUGGGAUUCUAAAGUAAUUUAGAGUGGUAGGAGAGCGUCGAAUAAGGGGUGAAGUCAGAGCGGAAGCGCUGGUGGACUUUAUUCGAGUGAGAAUGCCGGAAUGAGUAGCGAGAAUUAUGUGAGAAUCAUAAUGGCCGAAAAUCUAAGGUUUCCUGAGGAAGGUUCGUCCGCUCAGGGUAAGCCGGGGGCUAAGGCGAGGCGGAGACGCGUAGCCGAUGCACAUACGGUUGAAAUUCCGUAGCCACCGAAAGAUUUAAGUACAGGGACGCUUUAGAAGUGAUGUAGCCGGGCGAUGGUUGACCCGGUCGUAAGGGAUCGAAAAUGAGUAGAGAAGUCAUCAUGGAAAGAGACAAGAAAAGCUGUAUGAAUAUCUUAGGUGCCCGUACCGCAAACCGACACAGGUAGAUAGGAAGAAGAUUCUAAGGCCAACGGGAGAAGGGUUGUUAAGGAACUCGGCAAGUUGACCCCGUAACUUAGGGAUAAGGGGUGCUCAAGUGAUUGAGCCGCAGAGAAUAGGCCCAGGCGACUGUUUAGCAAAAACACAGGUCUCUGCUAAAUCGAAAGAUGACGUAUAGGGGCUGACACCUGCCCGGUGCCGGAAGGUUAAGAGGAGAUGUGAGAGCAUUGAAUUGAAGCCCCGGUAAACGGCGGCCGUAACUAUAACGGUCCUAAGGUAGCGAAAUUCCUUGUCAGGUAAGUUCUGACCCGCACGAAAGGUGUAACGAUCUGGGCACUGUCUCAACAGCCCGCCCGGCGAAAUUGUAGUACCGGUGAAGAUGCCG
rnacentral:rRNA from 1 species